rnacentral:rRNA from 1 species
GACGAACGCUGGCGGCGUGCCUAAUACAUGCAAGUUGAGCGCUGAAGGUUGGUACUUGUACCGACUGGAUGAGCAGCGAACGGGUGAGUAACGCGUGGGGAAUCUGCCUUUGAGCGGGGGACAACAUUUGGAAACGAAUGCUAAUACCGCAUAAAACCUUUAAACACAAGUUUUAAGUUUGAAAGAUGCAAUUGCAUCACUCAAAGAUGAUCCCGCGUUGUAUUAGCUAGUUGGUGAGGUAAAGGCUCACCAAGGCGAUGAUACAUAGCCGACCUGAGAGGGUGAUCGGCCACAUUGGGACUGAGACACGGCCCAAACUCCUACGGGAGGCAGCAGUAGGGAAUCUUCGGCAAUGGACGAAAGUCUGACCGAGCAACGCCGCGUGAGUGAAGAAGGUUUUCGGAUCGUAAAACUCUGUUGGUAGAGAAGAACGUUGGUGAGAGUGGAAAGCUCAUCAAGUGACGGUAACUACCCAGAAAGGGACGGCUAACUACGUG